UGUCUGUGGGGCGGGGCAGAGUGAGGGGAGGAAGUAUGAGAGUCGGAAGGUGAAGAGAGGACCGUAGCUGCUCUGUGUUGAAACGCAACAUAAAACAACAUUAUUUACGCGGCGUAUUGUAAUCCAGAAGCAUUAGGUUGUCGACUGGAGACCCCGUAGAGUCUGUUGACCCGGCAGACACCGAGAGGACUUGAAGAACUGCCAGUGCAGGACUGAAACAGAAGAGAUGGAUUCCAAUAUCAGGAAGAUUAGGAUGUUUCCCUGGAAUCAAUCAUUGUACAUUUGAGGAACCUUCAUCUGCUUAAUGUCUCAGAAAUGGAAAAAAAGAAGUCAUGUUUCCCUUCUCAGGCGGCAACAUCUGCUGGAGUCUCAGAUCCAUCACUAGCACACUAAGCUACAUGCACUCACUGUGUUUGCAUUGAGUGCACGCACGCAUGCUCUCACCAGUGCAAGGGACUGGGGGAGGGGAGUCAAAACAUGAAACUCUUCCAGUGAUUUUUACGCACAGCCUGAUGUCCAGAGAAAGGACAUGAGGAGAGGACACCAAGUCCAGGAAAAAAAAAAGAAGAAGGAAAAAGAAAUUCUGCCAUGCGGUAUUCAUCAAAAUACUCCAGCAAUCAUUUCAGCGAAAUUACCCCCCACCCCCACGCUCUGCAGCAAACACUUUCGACAGGACACAUAUUUGGCUCCAAUAGCUGAACACAAAUCUGAACAGCAUCAUCCUAACAGUCCUAAAGACCCCUUGCUACAGUUUGAUCUAUAGAGUGAAACAAACUGACUGUGUGGGGAGGCACAACAUCUCUAAAUGAACCAUUUUACAGUAAAAUAAAUGAAGGGUCAUAAAUUGAUCCUGCAUUUGUUUCAUUGUAACGCGGUCACCAGACAGCCGGGACGUCCACACAGCUCUACAUAAGCUGUGUUGAUUUUCCGCAGAGCACUUGUCAGUGCCACUUUCACAAGAUCUUCCUUUAAAGAGCUUUUAAUGAGAUGAAAACUCAAGUAGUUACUGCUGUCAGCGAAAAUGAGGGGCAAAAGGGCACCUUCAGUUAAAGCCCAAACUACACUCACUGGACAAUUUCCUGUCAUUUGUCUUCAAUGUGUAUGGGGGGGAACGGCAGGAAAUAGCUUUGAAUAUUGCAAACAUCUUAGCAAUACAAAGCAACAGUUCUGAAACCUGAGCAAUUCCUGAUACAUCUCUUAAGUCGGGGAAAGUUGGGAAAGAAGUAGUAAAAACAGGCAAGGACGAACGAACCGGGUGACAGAAUAGAAAAUCCAUGUGAGAAAACAGGGCAGCAAUAGAGACGUGAGAUGUCAUAAGAUGAUGAUGAAUGUUGCUCUCAAGAGAGUCUGCAGAAUGAGCUCCAGGACUCCAGGCAGAUUGGAGGAUUCCACUGUGGCUUCAUGCAGGCUAGGAAACAGGUGAUGACAACCAGGGCCGUUGUUGCACCAGAACACCUAAUGCGCAAUGCAGUCUACCUUUUGCUGAAUUCAGCUACAUUUCACUUGACGCUUGACUGAAUACAUGCAGCCGAGUUAAAUUCCCAAGAAGAAAAAAUAAAGAAUGCAGCGCAUAUUUAUCAUCCUCAGUGUGUCAGAAUAUGAUGUAUGAAUUUGUGGCGUGUCUAUUUUUUGUUUGUGCAAUGUGGAUGUAAUUUUCUGUAAACUGUCUAGUAAAAGAUGCUGUGAUAUACUUAUGCAUUGUUGAACUUUAGAGGAUCCUCCACAAAUAAAAAGUGUCCUUGUUUUGUU